UACGUAGGUGGCAAGCGUUGUCCGGAUUUACUGGGCGUAAAGAGCGCGCAGGCGGUCGUUCAAGUCGCGUGUGAAAGCCCCCGGCUCAACUGGGGAGGGUCACGCGAUACUGAUCGACUCGAAGGCAGGAGAGGGUAGUGGAAUUCCCGGUGUAGUGGUGAAAUGCGUAGAUAUCUGGAGGAACACCGGUGGCGAAGGCGGCAUCCUGGGCCGGUAUUGACGCUGAGGAGCGAAAGCCAGGGGAGCAAACGGG
rnacentral:rRNA from 1 species